CUGAGAGGGUAAUAAAUUACAUUGAAUAUAUAGGGUAAAUCUAUAUUUUUCUGUUACAAUUUUCGGUUUCUGGUAUAAAUCACGAGAACCGCUCCAUAGAAUUUUUUUUUAAAUUAAUAUUUUUUUCCUCUUUGUCUUACGAAUAAGAUGAUAUUAAAAAAAAAUAUGGUCACCGACUUCGUUUUCCCUGUAGAAGCGACGCAAACCCAACAUUUUGACAAAAAAAAACAUAAAAAUUCGUGACGUCGUAAUUUUUAUUAUAUAACGUCAAGUUAUCAUGCUAAUAAUUUCCAAUGUUCUUCGUGUUGAUUAUUCACGAUGAUUAUGUGUUUCGUAUUGAUAGAUUCUUUUUAUCAUAAGAGUCUGGAUAAUUAUCAUAAAUUUUUAAUUAGUAUUACCAAUAGUCUUUAUUCUUUAUAUUUUAGCACCUCAUUAUACACUUUUUCCUUUUUUGUUUUUUUUUUUUUUAUUCUGCAAUUUUUACCCAUUAUUCUGUAUUCCGUAAACCCCAAUCAGACCCUCUUUUAUGGAAUAUUUUAAAAAGAAAUUAUACGUUGUACAAAAUGUGAUACAUGUAUGUUCAUUAUCAAUAUACAUAUCUAAAACAAUUACUAAUUCAGACAAAAAUACGUUGUAAGUACAUGAACGCAAAAAUGGUAAAAUCUUAAAAAUAGAAAUCAUCAGGGUUACUGUCUACAAGUUGACUCAAUAAAAGAUGUAAUUGAAGCUAUAUUUUUUUAUACCCCCUCAACUACCCCUGUACGUCUGUCCGUCCGUCAUUCCGUCUGGCCGCCCGUCCUUCCGUCCGUCCGUCCCCCUUUAUAGUUUAUAGUUAUUCCGCAAAACAUCUACAGUUUGAAUCCUAGAACGUACUUUGCUGUCUGUUUGCAUGUGGUCAGGGUUUUGAUCUUUAUUAAUAUUUGCUCUAAUGAGAGAUAGUUGAACUUUGUCAUUUUUGGGUAACCAAUUCAUAAAUCUCUUAGACUAUCUUGUAAGUCAUCUGUUUACACUUUUUCUCCGUUCCGAUAUAUGAUUUGGCCACUUUUGAAAAAAACGUUUUUUUAGCAGCGGAAUAUGUAAUAGCUUGUGUUUUGGUACGUCUAUAUCACUACAGAACGUGUUCUGUCCAUAUACUGCUGCUAAACAUCGCAUAUAUAAACAAACAUUAUAUCAAUGAUUCUACAAAUUCUUGAAAGAGUGUCGUGUGGUUAUUUAUACAUCUUCAAGUUAACAAGUAAAACACGCAGACAAACUGACAUCUUUGUUAAUAUCUUUUUUGUUCUGUAUAAAAUUUAUUG
rnacentral:lncRNA from 1 species